CCUACGGGAGGCAGCAGUGGGGAAUCUUGCGCAAUGGGCGAAAGCCUGACGCAGCAACGCCGCGUGCGGGAAGAAGGCUUUCGGGCUGUAAACCGCUUUCAGCAGGAACGAAAAUGACGGUACCUGCAGAAGAAGGAGCGGCCAACUAUGUGCCAGCAGCCGCGGUGAUACAUAGGCUUCAAGCGUUGUCCGGAUUUAUUGGGCGUAAAAGAGUUCGUAGGCGGUCGAGUAAGUCGGGCGUGAAAAUUCUGGGCUCAACCNGAGACG
rnacentral:rRNA from 1 species